AACGAACGCUGGCGGCAUGCCUAACACAUGCAAGUCGAACGAGACCUUCGGGUCUAGUGGCGCACGGGUGCGUAACGCGUGGGAACCUGCCCUUAGGUUCGGAAUAACUCCCCGAAAGGGGUGCUAAUACCGGAUAAUGUCUUCGGACCAAAGAUUUAUCGCCUUUGGAUGGGCCCGCGUUGGAUUAGCUAGUUGGUAGGGUAAAAGCCUACCAAGGCGACGAUCCAUAGCUGGUCUGAGAGGAUGAUCAGCCACACUGGGACUGAGACACGGCCCAGACUCCUACGGGAGGCAGCAGUGGGGAAUAUUGGACAAUGGGCGAAAGCCUGAUCCAGCAAUGCCGCGUGAGCGAUGAAGGCCUUAGGGUUGUAAAGCUCUUUUACCCGGGAUGAUAAUGACAGUACCGGGAGAAUAAGCGCCGGCUAACUCCGUG
rnacentral:rRNA from 1 species